ensembl:snoRNA
UGAUGGCUGUUCUUCUCAUUGCUUGGAGCUUUAGGCAGUGGGAUUUUAAUCCAUCAUAUAUCAAAAGUGGCUUGUCUUCAUUCGGGGCACCAUGGGGAUGGGUUGGCUGUCCAUUAGUACCUUCUGAUUUUUGUGAAGCCAAAUAAUU